rnacentral:rRNA from 1 species
GAUGAACGCUGGCGGCGUGCUUAACACAUGCAAGUCGAACGAUGAAGCCCAGCUUGCUGGGUGGAUUAGUUGCGAACGGGUGAGUAACACGUGAGUAACCUGCCCUUAACUCUGGGAUAAGCCUGGGAAACUGGGUCUAAUACCGGAUAGGAGCGUCCACCGCAUGGUGGGUGUUGGAAAGAUUUAUCGGUUUUGGAUGGACUCGCGGCCUAUCAGCUUGUUGGUGAGGUAAUGGCUCACCAAGGCGACGACGGGUAGCCGGCCUGAGAGGGUGACCGGCCACACUGGGACUGAGACACGGCCCAGACUCCUACGGGAGGCAGCAGUGGGGAAUAUUGCACAAUGGGCGAAAGCCUGAUGCAGCGACGCCGCGUGAGGGAUGACGGCCUUCGGGUUGUAAACCUCUUUCAGUAGGGAAGAAGCGAAAGUGACGGUACCUGCAGAAGAAGCACCGGCUAACUACGUG